UACGGAGGGUGCAAGCGUUGUCCGGAAUCACUGGGUGUAAAGGGCGCGUAGGCGGCUCAUGAAGGCUGUGGGGAAAGUCCGGGGCUCAACCUCGGAUCGGCCGUGGCGACUCGUGGGCUGGAGCACUGUAGAGGCGGGUGGAAUUCCGGGUGUAGCGGUGGAAUGCGUAGAGAUCCGGAAGAACACCAGUGGCGAAGGCGGCCCGCUGGGCAGUGGCUGACGCUGAGGCGCGACAGCGUGGGGAGCAAACAGG
rnacentral:rRNA from 1 species